rnacentral:rRNA from 1 species
CACGUAGGGGGCGAGCGUUGUCCGGAUUUAUUGGGCGUAAAGAGCUCGUAGGCGGCUCAGUAAGUCAGGUGUGAAAACUCCAGGCUCAACCUGGAGACGCCACCUGAUACUGCUGUGGCUAGAGUCCGGUAGGGGAGCAUGGAAUUCCUGGUGUAGCGGUGAAAUGCGCAGAUAUCAGGAGGAACACCAGUGGCGAAGGCGGUGCUCUGGGCCGGAACUGACGCUGGAGGAGCGAAAGCGUGGGGAGCAAAACAGGAUUAGACUAC